AUCAGCACCGGCCCCAUCUCCCUAGCAGGAAGCUGGGCAGCCACUGCAGGCCAGGUGUGGACGACCCUCACAACUCUCCCAUCUGCGUGGACAUCGCUGGACGGGGUGUGUACAAUUCAGUGGUUUUUAGCAUGUUCACGAAGUUGUGCAACCAUCCCCACUCAUCUCACUCCGGAACACGUUCAUCAUCCGCAGAAGACGUCCUGUGCCUGUUAGCAACCGCUCCCCGCCACGGUUUGAGUGAGGCCACAACAGAACAUCAGACAGCAGUUUAUCAACAGAGACUUCCUGCCUCCCCGUCUGGAGGCCAAGGGCCCUUAUAAAAGGGCUAGAAGGAACUAGCUUGGCUGUUUUUCCUCCGAAUUCUGCCAUGUGAGGCUGGAUACGCCAUUGGAGCUGCCCUCAGCAGACCCCAGCCUGCCGGCACCUGGAUCUUGGACUCCCCAGCUUGAGAACUACAGGAAAUAAAUUUCUGUUGCUUAUAAAUUACUCAGUCUGAGGUGUUUUGUUACAGCAGCGGGGAUGGACUAAGACCCUUCCCAUUUUCCCCCAGCUGUGCCCUCGCCCCCAGCCCCGGGCAGCUGGGAGUCUACUCUGUGUCACCGUGGACCUGCCCAUUCCAGACAUUUGACAUAAAUGGUCUCAUGUGAUAUGUGGCCGUCUGCGUCUGACCUCCUUCACUUGGCAAAUGUUUGCGAGGUUCAUCCACUUUGGAGCAUGGGCCAGAGCUUCAUUCCUUUUUACGGGUGAAGAAUAGUGUGGGGCCAGGCCACAAUGUGCCCAUCUGUCCCUCAGCAGAUGGACAUGUAGGCUGUGCCCACCUUUGGGCUAUUGUGAAUAAUGCUACCAGGAACAUUUGUGGAUAAGCUUUUGUGUGGAUAAGCUUUUGUUUCUGAUUCUCGGGGACGUGUACCCAGGAGUGGGAUUGCUGGGUCACAUGGAAUUCGGCUUCACACUUUGAAGAACAGAACAGCCGCAUGUGAGGUUCCCACGUCUCCGCCCUGACACCUAUGAUGCUUUCGGUUCCAGCCAUCCCAGUGGGUGUGAGGUGUGGUCUCGUGUGGUUUUUAUUUGCAUUUCCCUGGUGGCUAAUGGUGUUAAGCAGCUUGUCAUGAGCUUGUUGGCUGGUCGCAUAUAUUAUUUGGAAAAAACAUCUAUUCAAAUUCUUUUGCCUUUUUUUUUUGAGUUAGAGUCUCUCUCUGUCACCCAGGCUGGAGUGCAGUGGCGCGAUCUCAGCUCACUGCAACCUCUGCCUCCCAGGUUCAAGCAAUUCUCUUGCCUCUGCCUCCUGAGUAGCUGGGAUUACAGGCGUGCACCACCACGUGGUGGCUAAUUGUUGUAUUUUUAGUAGAGAUGUGGUUUCACCACGUUGGCCAGGCUGGUCUCAAACUCCUGACCUCAAAUGGUCCCCCCAGCUUGGCCUCCCAAAGUGCUGGGAUUACAGGCGUGAGCCACUGCGCCCGGCCUCUCCCAGUUUGCCCAUUUUUUAACUAGGUUGUUUAUCUUUGUAUUGCUGAGCUGUGAGAGUUCUUUAGCACACUGGUUUUUCACUACCUUACCCUGGAGCCGAUACACAUCCUUUCUGCUCAGUCAUUAGCCAGAAAUGCAGAGAAAUGCUACUGUGUGACCCCAUGACCUCAGCCUGAUGUGCAGGGGUCCCCAGAAUAUUAGACGGGCACUGACUGUCUGCAGGAUACAGACCCGGGAGGGUGGCUUUGCACUGCUGAUCUGAACACAGCCUCUCACUGAUUCAAAACGUCCUUUUGGCGUGUCUGUAAUGCCUGCGUGUUCACCGUUCGCAUUGUUACUGUGAGCGACCCACGCACCAGCUCCACACGGGGCUCCCUAGGUGCAGCCUCCGGUGUGUGUUAAAACCUGGUGGCCACGGUUCCCUUGUUCAUCUUUUGUUCCAGAAUUUCCUUAGUUUUCUUACUUAUUUUUCCACGUUAACUUCACAAUCAAUCUACCUGAUUCCAGGGUUCUCCGGUGUUUUAAUUGGCCCCGCUGUGGCAGCCGGCCAGCACGAGGGACGGCACCUCGUGACGCCCAGGACAGACCGGGCUUGUUGCUGGUCUGUGGUCCUCAGUCAGGCCUCAGACCCUCUAUAACAGGUAUAGAUGUGCCCGCCGUUUGCUCCUAGAAAUUUACAAUUUUUGUUGCUGUUGGGAAUGGUCCCUUUUCUUUCUUCAUUGUCUCUCCUAACUGGAAGUGCUUGAAUUUGAAAGAUGCUGAUUCCUGACUCUGAAUUUUGUGCACAGCCACCCUCCGAAACUCACCUCUGCCUUCUAAUCAGUUUUCCGGGUCUAUGAGGAGUCGCAGCAGGCUGUGCUCGGGUG
rnacentral:lncRNA from 1 species